AGCAGCAUAGCUCAGUGGAAAGAGCACAGGCUUGGGAGUCAGACGUCAUGGGUUCGAAUCCCAGUUCUGCCA
rfam:Ornithorhynchus anatinus chromosome 4, whole genome shotgun sequence.